rnacentral:rRNA from 1 species
GGAUUUCUGUUAAUAAUUUAUAUAAAAUAUUUUGAUGAAUAUUUAUAUAAUAUUAACAUAAUUCAUAUUACUGUAUAUUUUAGUAUAUGAAAUUUUACUUUGAGAAAAUUAGAGUGCUUAAAGCAGGCAUAUGCCUUGAAUACUCCAGCAUGGAAUAAUAUUAAAGAUUUUUAUCUUUUUUAUUGGUUCUAAGAUAAGAAUAAUGAUUAAUAGGGACAGUUGGGGGCAUUUGUAUUUAACAGUCAGAGGUGAAAUUCUUAGAUUUGUUAAAGACAAACUAAUGCGAAAGCAUUUGCCAAGGAUGUUUUCAUUAAUCAAGAACGAAAGUUAGGGGAUCGAAGACGAUCAGAUACCGUCGUAGUCUUAACCAUAAACUAUGCCAACUAGAGAUUGGAGGUUGUUCCUUACUCCUUCAGCACCUUA